AAAUAGUGAAGAAAAUAAAAGCAGCGGAGAAGGGUAGUUUGUCGCAUCUCAAGAAGGAACGCUACAGAUUGGAAAGGUUCAGAAGCAUUGAGGAAAGGAAAAGUAUUGUAAAAGUAGCUUGCGUGACUCCGGUUCUUCGGUGGAGAUGGAGUAUCUUCCGAUUUCCUCAUGGGAAACAUCACAUAUGAUCAUGAGUGAUUUUUUCAAGAUAUGGAAGGAAACUCUUGG